UAGUGUGCAGCAAGGGGACGGCGUACCAGGCGACGACCGGUUAGCCGGCCUGAGAGGGCGACCGGCCACACGUGGGAUUGAGACACGGCCCAGGAUUCCUACGGGGAGGCAGCAGUGGGGAAUAUUGCACAAUGGGCGGGAAGCCCUGAUGCAGCGACGCCGCGUGAGGGAUGACGGCCUUUCGGGUUGUAAACCUCUUUCAGCCAGGGAAGAAGCGAGAGUGACGGUACUUGCAGAGGAAGCGCCGGCUAACUACGUGCCAGCAGCCGCGUUAAUACGUAGGGCGCAAGCGUUGUCCGGAAUUAUUGGGCGUAAAGAGUUCGUAGGCGGCUUGUCGCGUCGGAUGUGAAAGCCCGGGGCUUAACCCCGGGUUUGCAUUCGAUACGGGCAGGCUAGAGUUCGGUAGGGGAGAUCGGAAUUCCUGGUGUAGCGGUGAAAUGCGCAGAUAUCAGGAGGAACACCGGUGGCGAAGGCGGAUCUCUGGGCCGAUACUGACGCUGAGGAGCGAAAGCGUGGGGAGCGAACAGGAUUAGAUACCCUGGUAGUCCACGCCGUAAACGUUGGGAACUAGGUGUGGGCGACAUUCCACGUCGUCCGUGCCGCAGCUAACGCAUUAAGUUCCCCGCCUGGGGAGUACGGCCGCAAGGCUAAAACUCAAAGGAAUUGACGGGGGCCCGCACAAGCAGCGGAGCAUGUGGCUUAAUUCGACGCAACGCGAAGAACCUUACCAAGGCUUGACAUACACCGGAAAGCGCUAGAGAUAGUGCCCCCCUUGUGGUCGGUGUACAGGUGGUUCAUGGCUGGUCGUCAGCUCGUGUCGUGAGAUGUUGGGUUAAGUACCCGCAACGAGCGCAACCCUUGUUCUGUGUUGCCAGCAUGCCUUUCGGGGUGAUGGGGACUCACAGGAGACUGCCGGGGUCAACUCGGAGGAAGGUGGGGACGACGUCAAGUCAUCAUGCCCCUUAUGUCUUGGGCUGCACACGUGCUACAAUGGCCGGUACAAUGAGCUGGGAUACCGCGAGGUGGAGCGAAUCUCAAAAAGCCGGUGUCAGUUCGGAUUGGGGUUUGCAACUCGACCCCAUGAAGUUGGAGUUGUUCGUAAUCGCAGAUCAGCAUUGGUGCGGUGAAUACGUUGCCCGGGCCUUGUACACACCGCCCGUCCUGUCACGAAAGUCGGCAACAUGUCUAACACUCGAUGUCGUGGGCCACCUUGGAAGACU
rnacentral:rRNA from 1 species